rnacentral:RNase_P_RNA from 2 species
GCGAGAGGGCUGGGGCUUUCCGCAAGGAGGAAGUUCCGCCCACCUCACCGGGGCCGCGGUGCCGCAAGGCACCUCCCGAGAGGGAGGGCAACGGAGCAGAAACGACACGUCCCCACAAAAAUGUGAAUGAAGGCGGCGAAGGCCUUCGGCAACGAAGGCCGAGCUAACCCGCAGACGAUUUGUGGGGGAUCGGUGAAACGGCCGUCCCGUGGGGUGCAAGGCCGAGAAAGGGGCAAUGAAGUCCCGGUGCGAGCCCCGUGGUAGGCCGCUUAGUCGAAUGCCCCUGAAUACAGAAGGCGGGCUAUAGCCCUCUCGC